rnacentral:sRNA from 1 species
UUGAACCUUCGUAUUCACUCCUUUAAUUUAAAUCAAUAAUUUUGAGAAAACAAAAUUUGUAGAUUUUUAAUUAAAUAAAGUUAAUUAUCUGUAGAAUUUGAACUUUAUAAUCAAACGAAAUUAUAUAUCGGUUUUGAGUUUAUAUAUAUGAAUUAGGUUUUAGAUUUUACAAUUAAAUAAAAUUUUAUAUUGGUUUGGGAUUACAAAUGUGGAUUAGGGUUUUGAUUUUACAAUUAAAUAAAACUUAUGUCGGUUUAAUAAGUGUUAUGGCAUUAGUUACUUGGUCUAUGACCAGACCACCCUAAUGUUGUGUCCUGGCGACGAUGAAACUGGACCGGCUUGCAUCUAUAUUGUCACGGGAGAUUUUUUCAAGAAGAUUCAAAUUGGUUUUGGUUUCUGGUGUUUUCAUUGUGUUUAUUCUCCCAGUUUUGUCCUAGUUCCUUUAGGUUAAGAUUGCAAGUCUAAUAAUUUUAUCACAUUUUCUUGAACUUUGUUCAUGUCUCUGUUUUCUUAGUCUUAAGUCAGUUUGUCUAAAAUUUUCUUGAUGAUAAAAAUAUAGACU